rnacentral:lncRNA from 1 species
AGCGUUGGUUGGGGUCACAUUACUUGCAGCUGAUCGCAUUCUUGGCUGACACUGACAUUACCUCAUAGAGUCAUCAAAAAGAUUAAAUGAGAAAAUAUAUGUCUGUGGACGGAGAAAAACAACAGUUAAAAUUGUCUAAAACACAAUUCUCAGUAAAGGUUUUCAAUAAAUGAUUGGUUUUAAUGUUUAACCAUUCAAAGGGGCAAAACAAUUUGAUCAAUACUGUGGUAGGCAGAGGGACGGCCGCCCAAAGACGUCCUCAUCCUGAUCCCAGGAACCUGGGAGUUUGUUACAGCAGCAACAGAAAAUGAAUACGACACAUAGUGGAAUUUGAGGCAGCAUCCAGAGGGUCAGCUUAGGGGCCUCAGAGAAGAAGCUGAGGAGCCACUGACCAAGGCCGGUGAGCACCCCACCAUGGCUGGCAUCGCGGAGCCCCCGUCUGAUGGCAGGAGGGACCUGUUCUAAGGCCACAGGCAGGGCUGCCCUGACGUGCACCUCAGGCACCGUGCACACACACAGCUUGGGCGGCCCUGCUAGGCCCUGCCACUCAGAGGCUCGUGGAGGGUCCCAGUGGGUCAGGGCUGGAUUUGGUGGGCUAGGAAUGAGUCGGGCAGUGUCUGCAGGAGGUCCUAUGCAGCGGCCUCUCUGGAAGCCUGCAUCCACUGACUUUGGUAUUUGAGAAUGAGGGCAAAAUGCUGCCUUGUGAUGUCACAAACCCCAUUUAACAAAGAGAACAAAAAGGACCAUUUUGGGGCCUCGUCCUCUCGGCCGGGCCUCUGCAGACAGCACACCCUCCUGAAGAGAGAUCUGGAAACCACCAAGGCCCCAACCCGCCGGGAUACAGAUGACAGGGCCGAUCCCUCAGACAAGGCUACGUCUGCUGACAAGAAACCAGUUAUGCGAAGAUGUGAGAAAUGGAAAUGCUGCACCAAUUUUACAGAACAAACUCUGCCUCUAAAAAGGUGUAACUUGAUGCAAAAUAUGCAUCAUCAUUUGAAUAACAAAAUAAAAUACGCAAAAAAAAAUGAGGCUUCUCAAAG